rnacentral:rRNA from 1 species
UGGGGAAUUUUCCGCAACGGGCGAAAGCCUGACGGAGCAACGCCGCGUGUGGGAAGAAGGCUCUUGGGCUGUCAACCACUUUUCUCAGGGAAGAAGACCUGACGGUACCUGAGGAAUCAGCCUCGGCUAACUCCGUGCCAGCAGCCGCGGUAAUACGGAGGAGGCAAGCGUUAUCCGGAAUUAUUGGGCGUAAAGCGUCCGCAGGGGGCGCAUCUAGUCUGCUGUUAAAGGCUGGAGCUUAACUCCGGUAGAGCAGUGGAAACUGGAGUGCUAGAGGGCGACAGGGGUAGAGGGAAUUCCCAGUGUAGCGGUGAAAUGCGUAGAGAUUGGGAAGAACACCGGUGGCGAAAGCGCUCUACUGGGUCGCACCUGACCCUCAGGGACGAAAGCUAAGGUAGCGAAAGGGAUUAGAUACCCCUAUAGUCUUAGCCGUAAACGAUGGAUACUAGGCGUGGCUUGUAUCGACCCAAGCCGUGCCGAAGCUAACGCGUUAAGUAUCCCGCCUGGGGAGUACGCACGCAAGUGUG